rnacentral:misc_RNA from 1 species
GAGAUUGUGAGACUUGAAGAAGCACCUAGAGUAGCUGAGAGACACUUUUUGGACCUCAGAAAGAAAUACGGAAAUGUUCUAGCAGUUGAUCUCGUCAACAAGCAUGGAGGAGAAGGGCGUUUGAAUGAAAAGUUUCCCAAUGCAAUGCAACAUGUUGAUGGUGAUGAUGUAAGAUACUUGCACUUUGAUUUUCACCAUAUAUGCGGGCAUGUUCAUUUUGAGCGGCUUUCUAUCCUUUAUGAUCAAAUUGAGGAUUUCUUCAUAAAGAAUAGGUACUUUUUGUUGAAU